AGUGGCGAACGGGUGAGUAACACGUGGGUAACCUGCCCAUCAGAAGGGGAUAACACUUGGAAACAGGUGCUAAUACCGUAUAACAAUCGAAACCGCAUGGUUUUGAUUUGAAAGGCGCUUUCGGGUGUCGCUGAUGGAUGGACCCGCGGUGCAUUAGCUAGUUGGUGAGGUAACGGCUCACCAAGGCGACGAUGCAUAGCCGACCUGAGAGGGUGAUCGGCCACAUUGGGACUGAGACACGGCCCAAACUCCUACGGGAGGCAGCAGUAGGGAAUCUUCGGCAAUGGACGAAAGUCUGACCGAGCAACGCCGCGUGAGUGAAGAAGGUUUUCGGAUCGUAAAACUCUGUUGUUAGAGAAGAACAAGGAUGAGAGUAACUGUUCAUCCCUUGACGGUAUCUAACCAGAAAGCCACGGCUAACUACGUGCCAGCAGCCGCGGUAAUACGUAGGUGGCAAGCGUUGUCCGGAUUUAUUGGGCGUAAAGCGAGCGCAGGCGGUUUCUUAAGUCUGAUGUGAAAGCCCCCGGCUCAACCGGGGAGGGUCAUUGGAAACUGGGAGACUUGAGUGCAGAAGAGGAGAGUGGAAUUCCAUGUGUAGCGGUGAAAUGCGUAGAUAUAUGGAGGAACACCAGUGGCGAAGGCGGCUCUCUGGUCUGUAACUGACGCUGAGGCUCGAAAGCGUGGGGAGCAAACAGGAUUAGAUACCCUGGUAGUCCACGCCGUAAACGAUGAGUGCUAAGUGUUGGAGGGUUUCCGCCCUUCAGUGCUGCAGCUAACGCAUUAAGCACUCCGCCUGGGGAGUACGACCGCAAGGUUGAAACUCAAAGGAAUUGACGGGGGCCCGCACAAGCGGUGGAGCAUGUGGUUUAAUUCGAAGCAACGCGAAGAACCUUACCAGGUCUUGACAUCCUUUGACCACUCUAGAGAUAGAGCUUCCCCUUCGGGGGCAAAGUGACAGGUGGUGCAUGGUUGUCGUCAGCUCGUGUCGUGAGAUGUUGGGUUAAGUCCCGCAACGAGCGCAACCCUUAUUGUUAGUUGCCAUCAUUUAGUUGGGCACUCUAGCAAGACUGCCGGUGACAAACCGGAGGAAGGUGGGGAUGACGUCAAAUCAUCAUGCCCCUUAUGACCUGGGCUACACACGUGCUACAAUGGGAAGUACAACGAGUCGCAAAGUCGCGAGGCUAAGCUAAUCUCUUAAAGCUUCUCUCAGUUCGGAUUGUAGGCUGCAACUCGCCUACAUGAAGCCGGAAUCGUUAGUAAUCGCGGAUCAGCACGCCGC
rnacentral:rRNA from 1 species